rnacentral:rRNA from 1 species
AGGGCAAGUCUGGUGCCAGCAGCCGCGGUAAUUCCAGCUCCAAUAGCGUAUAUUAAAGUUGUUGCAGUUAAAAAGCUCGUAGUUGAAUUUCGGGGUUAGUAGGUUGGUCAUGCCUCAGGUACGUACUGGUCUUACUGGCUCCUCCUUCCUGAUGAACCGUAAUGCCAUUAAUUUGGUGUUGCGGGGAGACUGGACUGUUACUUUGAAAAAUUAGAGUGUUUAAAGCAGGCUAACGCUUGAAUACAUUAGCAUGGAAUAAUGAAAUAGGACGUUCGAUCUUAUUUUGUUGGUUUCUAAGAUUGACGUAAUGAUUAAUAGGGAUAGUUGGGGGCAUUAGUAUUCAAUUGUCAGAGGUGAAAUUCUUGGAUUUAUUGAAGACUAACUACUGCGAAAGCAUUUGCCAAGGAUGUUUUCAUUAAUCAAGAACGAAAGUUAGGGGAUUGAAGACGAUCAGAUACCGUCGUAGUCUUAACCAUAAACUAUGCCGACUAGGGAUCGGAUGAUGUUAAUUUUUUAAUGACUCAUUCGGCGCCUUACGGGAA